GACGAACGCUGGCGGCGUGCUUAACACAUGCAAGUCGAGCGGUAAGGCCCUUUCGGGGGUACACGAGCGGCGAACGGGUGAGUAACACGUGGGUGACCUGCCCUCAGCUCUGGGAUAAGCCUGGGAAACCGGGUCUAAUACCGGAUAUGACUCCAUAACGCAUGUUGUGGGGUGGAAAGCCUUGUGCGGCUGAGGAUGGGCCCGCGGCCUAUCAGCCUUGUUGGUGGGGUGAUGGCCACCAAGGCGACGACGGGUAGCCGGCCUGAGAGGGCGACCGGCCACACUGGGACUGAGACACGGCCCAGACUCCUACGGGA
rnacentral:rRNA from 1 species